rnacentral:rRNA from 1 species
GACGAACGCUGGCGGCGUGCUUAACACAUGCAAGUCGAACGGUGAGGCGGAGCUUGCUCCGCGGAUCAGUGGCGAACGGGUGAGUAACACGUGAGCAACCUACCCUUGACUCUGGGAUAACAGUUGGAAACAGCUGCUAAUACCGGAUACGACCUCUGAAGGCAUCUUCGGAGGUGGAAAGCUCCGACGGUCAAGGAUGGGCUCGCGGCCUAUCAGCUUGUUGGUGGGGUAACGGCCCACCAAGGCGACGACGGGUAGCCGGCCUGAGAGGGCGACCGGCCACACUGGGACUGAGAUACGGCCCAGACUCCUACGGGAGGCAGCAGUGGGGAAUAUUGCACAAUGGGCGAAAGCCUGAUGCAGCAACGCCGCGUGCGGGAUGACGGCCUUCGGGUUGUAAACCGCUUUCAGCAGGGACGAAGCUUUUGUGACGGUACCUGCAGAAGAAGCACCGGCUAACUACGUGCCAGCAGCCGCCGUAAGAC